rnacentral:rRNA from 1 species
AACGAACGCUGGCGGCAGGCCUAACACAUGCAAGUCGAGCGCGCCUUCGGGUGAGCGGCGGACGGGUGAGUAACGCGUGGGAAUAUGCCCUUCUCUACGGAAUAGUCCUGGGAAACUGGGGGUAAUACCGUAUACGCCCUUGGGGGGAAAGAUUUAUCGGGGAAGGAUUAGCCCGCGUUGGAUUAGGUAGUUGGUGGGGUAAUGGCCUACCAAGCCGACGAUCCAUAGCUGGUUUGAGAGGAUGAUCAGCCACACUGGGACUGAGACACGGCCCAGACUCCUACGGGAGGCAGCAGUGGGGAAUCUUAGACAAUGGGGGCAACCCUGAUCUAGCCAUGCCGCGUGAGUGAUGAAGGCCUUAGGGUUGUAAAGCUCUUUCAGCUGGGAAGAUAAUGACGGUACCAGCAGAAGAAGCCCCGGCUAACUCCGUG